rnacentral:tRNA from 1 species
GCCGAAGUGGCGGAACGGCAGACGCGACGGUCUCAAAAACCGUUGGGCGCAAGCCCAUCUGGGUUCGAUUCCCAGCUUCGGCACCA